AGAGCGGCAGCACCGUCACUGAUAACAAUACGGCGUAAGGCGGAGUUUGGGGUCAUGGAUAUAAUCAGUGUUUAUUUCUACCUUCAGGGUCGGCGUGGCCAACAAAGGGAGACAGCCUGAUUCAACAAGAUACCCUAGCAUGCCCCAAAACCACGAUGAUCACACUACGGAGUUGCAGGAUUUCCCAUAGAACAAGCAGGGUACAUUCAGCAGUAGCAGCAGCAGCAACAGCAGCAACAGCAACAGUGCAAGGGGGCAGAGUUGAGUGGUAACAAUACUAUGUGUGUGAGCAAAGAAUGGACACAUGUAUGUGAUGUCAGCAACAGAAGAUUUGGUCGUGUCAGAGAGCGCAAAGAAGAAAUAUUUCGAUAAUAACGUGCAUUUAUGCGAGACCCAUCACCUUGGAAAGCAAUGAUUGAAAGCCGCCAAGCAUUGUAUUUCAAAAUCUUAGGCCAAACUGAUGUUUCCAGUUCUUUAAGACGCUACGUAUGUUUUGGUUUUAACAAAUCCCUAUUAAUGAACUAAUGAGUAGUCGGUAAGUAGUACAUCUGAAUUUCACAAUGAUCAAAAGUGUCAUGGGUACCUGUGUUUGGAUGUAUCCUAAUUGAUUCGUUCCUCUUGGUUAUUCGGUGGCACAACAACAUUUACUACUGGGGAUUGUAACAACUGAAUUCAGUGUCAAAGACGUCUUUUGACGACCGAAGUAUUGGGGCAUUGGCGUAGGCGUGCUUCAAACUGGGUCAACACAACGUCGCGAACACAACGCCACGUUACAAAUGUCAGACAAAGUACGAUCAGCGACAUAGAGUUGACCCCAGACGUUUAGAUCAGUUAUCCAUCAACAUGCAGGUGGUCGACAGCGUUCCACCACACAAGCGGAAGACAGGUUCUCCUAAUUGCAGCAGGAAGUUAUCUCCUCGGAACUGCCGCCACACUUACAAAUGACCGUGAACUCGACAAAAGAGUUACACAAUCUUUCCUUGGCAACCAUCGAGGCAUUUUGGGAGACCCUGAUACGACCAUUCUGAUCUCUCACCUCACAACACUGGACCAUAUACCCGCUUCUGAGAUGUGUCAUUUGCCGGGUGAUCUGACAGACUAUUGGUCACUCACUUACUGUCGGUUAGCGUUGUGUUCUACAUGACGACUUUUGUUCAUUAAACUUGUCUUUAUGUAA